rnacentral:rRNA from 1 species
AUUGAACGCUGGCGGCAUGCCUUACACAUGCAAGUCGAACGGUAACGGGCCUUCGGGUGCCGACGAGUGGCGAACGGGUGAGUAAUACAUCGGAACGUGCCCGAUCGUGGGGGAUAACGAGGCGAAAGCUUUGCUAAUACCGCAUACGAUCUACGGAUGAAAGCAGGGGACCGCAAGGCCUUGCGCGGACGGAGCGGCCGAUGGCAGAUUAGGUAGUUGGUGGGAUAAAAGCUUACCAAGCCGACGAUCUGUAGCUGGUCUGAGAGGAUGAUCAGCCACACUGGGGCUGAGACGCGGCCCAGACUCCUACGGGAGGCAGCAGUGGGGAAGUUUGGACAAUGGGCGCAAGCCUGAUCCAGCCAUGCCGCGUGCAGGAUGAAGGCCUUCGGGUUGUAAACUGCUUUUGUACGGAACGAAAAGCCUUCUUUUAAUACAGGAGGGUCAUGACGGUACCGUAAGAAUAAGCACCGGCUAACUACGU